GACAGAGGUGCCAAGCGUUAGGCGGAAUCACUGGGCUUAAAGCGUGUGUAGGCGGGUGCCUAAGUACCUUGUGAAAUCCCACGGCUCAACCGUGGAACUGCUGGGUAUACUGGGUGCCUUGGGUCAUCUAGGGGCUGCCGGAACAAAUGGUGGAGCGGUGAAAUGCGUAGAUAUCGGGAGGAACACCUGUGGCGAAAGCGGCUCACUGGACCACAACUGACGCUGAGGCGCGAAAGCUAGGGGAGCAAACAGG
rnacentral:rRNA from 1 species